UUGAGAAUCGAAUGACCAGAGCAAGCAAAGCGCCUCCCCUCCUGGGCUGAGCCUGAGAGCAGGCAGGUGCAUACCGGUGUCAGCUGUGAUGCCCGUGAAGAGAACAGCAAAGGGGCAAAACGGGUCAGCGGGCAGCGUUUGAGACCAGACCUAAGAAUGCAGAACCAGAGGAAGAAAUCAAGGCGUGGACAGACGAAGUGACCUGGCUCAGAAGUAUGAUCCUCGGCAACCCUGAAGCCACUCAAGUUCGUCCUUUGUUGGGCUGACUCACAAGACGGACCGAAGUUGUGUGCGUGGCCAGGAUUUAUCAUGGGCAAAGGGCCCAGAGGGAAAUGAGCAAUGGGAAGGCGCACGGAGCAAAGCCCGGGAGAAGCCGGCGCCUGCUGGGUGCCCAGAGACAGAUCCAGGAGUCAGGACCUCGGCAUGGAGAGCUCAGCAGGAGGAGUUGUCAGCUUGUGGUGACAGCAAAAACCGUGUGAUUGGCAAGAUGCGCACAGGAAGUGGCGGCUCUGACUCACCUUUGCCAGCCGCUCAGCCUGGUGGCCACCCAUCCUCAGCUUUGGGGAAGAGGAACAAGGACAGGUUUCUGCAGAUGCAUCAGAUGCCUCAGGCCACCAUGCAGGUCAGCCUGGACUGAGCCUCAGCCAGGACAGUGUUCAUGCAAGCAGGUUGCCUGCAUGGUGCCCUCCCUCUGCAGCUCUGCAGCCGUCUGAUAGCUGACUGGCUUUUCUGCUUCGUCUGCAGUCCACAACCUCUUCUCAGGCACGCCCCUCUGCUCCUUCACUCCCCUACGCCAGCAUGUGGGAGCCAGCUGGUCCCACCUUUCCUGUCCCCUGGGCCUGGGCGCCUUUCCCCUCCCAAGCUCACUACCUUUCUAGUAGCAUAAAGAUAACUC